rnacentral:rRNA from 1 species
GUUGUAUAGUUAAGUGACUAAGCGUACAAGGUGGAUGCCUUGGCAAUCAGAGGCGAAGAAGGACGUGCUAAUCUGCGAAAAGCUUGGAUGAGUCGAUAAGAGGCGUUUAAUCCAAGAUGUCCGAAUGGGGAAACCCAGUAGAUGAAGAAUCUACUAUCACUUACUGAAUACAUAGGUAAGUGAGGCAAACCGGGAGAACUGAAACAUCUAAGUACCCCGAGGAAAAGAAAUCAACCGAGAUUUCGUUAGUAGCGGCGAGCGAACGCGAAGGAGCCUGUUAGUGAUAAUGACAGAGACAGAGGAACAAGCUGGGAAGCUUGGCGAUACAGGGUGAUAGCCCCGUACUCGAAGUCCAGGUCAUGGUACUAAGCUAACGAUAAGUAGGGCGGGACACGUGAUAUCCUGUUUGAAGAUGGGGGGACCAUCCUCCAAGGCUAAAUACUCCUGAUUGACCGAUAGUGAACCAGUACUGUGAAGGAAAGGCGAAAAGAACCCCGGUGAGGGGAGUGAAAUAGAACCUGAAACCUUGUACGUACAAGCAGUGGGAGCCCUUUUUGGGUGACUGCGUACCUUUUGUAUAAUGGGUCAGCGACUUAUAUUUUGUAGCGAGGUUAACCGAAUAGGGGAGCCGAAGGGAAACCGAGUCUUAACUGGGCGUUUAGUUGCAAGGUAUAGACCCGAAACCCGGUGAUCUAGCCAUGGGCAGGUUGAAGGUUGGGUAACACUAACUGGAGGACCGAACCGACUAAUGUUGAAAAAUUAGCGGAUGACUUGUGGCUGGGGGUGAAAGGCCAAUCAAACCGGGAGAUAGCUGGUUCUCCCCGAAAUCUAUUUAGGUAGAGCCUUGAGCGGACACCUUCGGGGGUAGAGCACUGUUUCGGCUAGGGGUCCAUCCCGGAUUACCAACCCGAUGCAAACUACGAAUACCGAAGAGUGAUACUCAGGAGACACACGGCGGGUGCUAACGUCCGUCGUGGAGAGGGAAACAACCCAGACCGCCAGCUAAGGUCCCAAAGUCUAUAUUAAGUGGGAAACGAAGUGGGAAGGCUUAGACAGCUAGGAUGUUGGCUUAGAAGCAGCCAUCAUUUAAAGAAAGCGUAAUAGCUCACUAGUCGAGUCGGCCUGCGCGGAAGAUGUAACGGGGCUCAAAUAUAGCACCGAAGCUGCGGCAUCAGACGAAAGUCUGUUGGGUAGGGGAGCGUUCUGUAAGCGGAUGAAGGUGAAUCGAGAGGUUUGCUGGACGUAUCAGAAGUGCGAAUGCUGACAUAAGUAACGAUAAAACGGGUGAAAAACCCGUUCGCCGGAAGACCAAGGGUUCCUGUCCAACGUUAAUCGGGGCAGGGUGAGUCGGCCCCUAAGGCGAGGCUGAAAAGCGUAGUCGAUGGGAAACGGGUUAAUAUUCCCGUACUUGGAUAAACUGCGAUGUGGGGACGGAGCAGGUUAGGUUAUCGCACUGUUGGAUAUGUGCGUUUAAGUUUGUAGGUGGGAAGUUUAGGCAAAUCCGGACUUCUAUUCAACACUGAGAGAUGAUGACGAGGCUCUACGGAGCUGAAGUAACCGAUACCACACUUCCAGGAAAAGCCACUAAGCUUCAGGUUUAUCUAAACCGUACUGAAAACCGACACAGGUGGUCAGGUAGAGAAUACUCAGGCGCUUGAGAGAACUCGGGUGAAGGAACUAGGCAAAAUAGCACCGUAACUUCGGGAGAAGGUGCGCCGGCGUAGAUUGUAGUCCCUUGCGGAUGAAGGUUGAACCGGUCGAAGAUACCAGCUGGCUGCAACUGUUUAUUAAAAACACAGCACUCUGCAAACACGAAAGUGGACGUAUAGGGUGUGAUGCCUGCCCGGUGCUGGAAGGUUAAUUGAUGGUGUAAUCGAAAGAGAAGCUCCUGAUCGAAGCCCCAGUAAACGGCGGCCGUAACUAUAACGGUCCUAAGGUAGCGAAAUUCCUUGUCGGGUAAGUUCCGACCUGCACGAAUGGCAUAAUGAUGGCCAGGCUGUCUCCACCCGAGACUCAGUGAAAUUGAAAUCGCCGUGAAGAUGCGGUGUACCCGCGGCUAGACGGAAAGACCCCGUGAACCUUUACUAUAGCUUGACACUGAACAUUGAAUUUUGAUGUGUAGGAUAGGUGGGAGCCUUUGAAGCAGUCACGCCAGUGAUUGUGGAGGCGUCCUUGAAAUACCACCCUUUAACGUUUGAUGUUCUAACGAAGAUUACGAAACGUGGUCUCGGACAGUGUCUGGUGGGUAGUUUGACUGGGGCGGUCUCCUCCCAAAGAGUAACGGAGGAGCACGAAGGUUUGCUAAUGACGGUCGGACAUCGUCAGGUUAGUGCAAUGGUAUAAGCAAGCUUAACUGCGAGACAGACAAGUCGAGCAGGUACGAAAGUAGGUCAUAGUGAUCCGGUGGUUCUGAAUGGAAGGGCCAUCGCUCAACGGAUAAAAGGUACUCCGGGGAUAACAGGCUGAUACCGCCCAAGAGUUCAUAUCGACGGCGGUGUUUGGCACCUCGAUGUCGGCUCAUCACAUCCUGGGGCUGAAGUAGGUCCCAAGGGUAUGGCUGUUCGCCAUUUAAAGUGGUACGCGAGCUGGGUUUAGAACGUCGUGAGACAGUUCGGUCCCUAUCUGCCGUGGGCGUUGGAGAAUUGGUUGGGGCUGCUCCUAGUACGAGAGGACCGGAGUGGACGCACCACUGGUGUUCCGGUUGUGUCGCCAGACGCAUUGCCGGGUAGCUAAGUGCGGAAGAGAUAAGUGCUGAAAGCAUCUAAGCACGAAACUUGCCAAGAGAUGAGUUCUCCCAGAUUUAAAAUCUGUAAGGGUUGUUUAAGACUAAGACGUAGAUAGGCAUGGUGUGUAAGCGGUGCGAGCCGUUGAGCUAACAUGUACUAAUUGCCCGAGAGGCUUAACUAUACAACGCUCAAGGGUUUUG